rnacentral:rRNA from 1 species
GACAGAGGGUGCAAACGUUGUUCGGAAUUACUGGGCGUAAAGCGCGUGUAGGCUGCUUCGCAAGUCGGAUGUGAAAGCCCUGGGCUCAACCCAGGAAGUGCAUUCGAAACUGCAGAGCUGGAGUCCUGGAGAGGAAGGCGGAAUUCUCGGUGUAGAGGUGAAAUUCGUAGAUAUCGAGAGGAACACCGGUGGCGAAGGCGGCCUUCUGGACAGUGACUGACGCUGAGACGCGAAAGCGUGGGUAGCAAACAGG